rnacentral:rRNA from 1 species
GACGAACGCUGGCGGCGUGCUUAACACAUGCAAGUCGAACGGAAAGGCCCUGCUUUUGUGGGGUGCUCGAGUGGCGAACGGGUGAGUAACACGUGAGUAACCUGCCCUUGACUUUGGGAUAACUUCAUGAAACUGGGGCCAAUACCGGAUAGGAGCUCCUGCUGCAUGGUGGGGGGUGGAAAUUUUUGGCGGUUGGGGAUGGCCUCGCGGCUUAUCAGCUUGUUGGUGGGGUAGUGGCUUACCAAGGCUUUGACGGGUAGCCGGCCUGAGAGGGUGACCGGCCACAUUGGGACUGAGAAACGGCCCAGACUCCUACGGGAGGCAGCAGUGGGGAAUAUUGCACAAUGGGCGGAAGCCUGAUGCAGCAACGCCGCGUGCGGGAUGACGGCCUUCGGGUUGUAAACCGCUUUCGCCUGUGACGAAGCGUGAGUGACGGUAAUGGGUAAAGAAGCACCGGCUAACUACGUG